ACACGCAUGACACACUGCAUAUCAAUAAGCGGAGGAAAAGAAACUAACUAGGAUUCCCUCAGUAACGGCGAGUGAAGCGGGAAGAGCUCAAAUUUGAAAUCUUCAAGGUUUUACCUUGACGAAUUGUAGUUUAAAGAAGUGUUUUCUGUUGGUGUUUUGGUAAAAGUUCUUUGGAAUAGGACAUCAUAGAGGGUGAGAAUCCCGUAUUUGACCAUUACUUCCAGCGUUGUGAUACACUUUCAAAGAGUCGGAUUGUUUGGGAAUGCAGUCCAAAAUGGGUGGUAAAUUUCAUCUAAAGCUAAAUAUUGGCGAGAGACCGAUAGCGAACAAGUACCGUGAGGGAAAGAUGAAAAGAACUUUGAAAAGAGAGUUAAACAGUACGUGAAAUUGUCAGAAGGGAAGCGUUUGACACCAGUGUUGUUUUCUCGAAAAUCAAUUAAAAAGAGUUGGAUUUUGUAUUGUUAAGACCUUAUCAGCUUACUGUACUUUUUUCUUGCUCUUUUUAAUGCACUUUUCGUUUAACAAGUCAACAUCAAUUUCUUUUGUUGUAAAAGGGUCAUUGGAAGGUGGCUUUCACUUCGGUGAAAGUGUUUAUAGCCUUUGGCUUCUACAAUCGGAGAGAUUGAGGUCUGCAGCGUAGAUCCUUCGGGGUUAGAUACGUAGAUGCUAAGUUAUAGUUUUUUAUAGACAACUUGUUGACUAUGAUUAAUCAUGUAGCUUACUCGUUUACGCUAUUUUACCUACGCUUAGGAUGUUGAGCGCAUGUCUCUCUCU
rnacentral:rRNA from 1 species